CUACGGGGCGCUCCAGUGGGGAAUAUUGCACAAUGGGCGCAAGCCUGAUGCAGCCAUGCCGCGUGUAUGAAGAAGGCCUUCGGGUUGUAAAGUACUUUCAGCGGGGAGGAAGGGAGUGAAGUUAAUACCUUUGCUCAUUGACGUUACCCGCAGAAGAAGCACCGGCAACUCCGUGCCAGCAGCCGCGGUAAUACGGAGGGUGCAAGCGUUAAUCGGAAUUACUGGGCGUAAAGCGCACGCAGGCGGUUUGUUAAGUCAGAUGUGAAAUCCCCGGGCUCAACCUGGGAACUGCAUCUGAUACUGGCAAGCUUGAGUCUCGUAGAGGGGGGUAGAAUUCCAGGUGUAGCGGUGAAAUGCGUAGAGAUCUGGAGGAAUACCGGUGGCGAAGGCGGCCCCCUGGACGAAGACUGACGCUCAGGUGCGAAAGCGUGGGGAGCAAACAGGAUUAGAUACCCCAGUAGUC
rnacentral:rRNA from 1 species